UACAGAGGUCUCAAGCGUUGUUCGGAUUCAUUGGGCGUAAAGGGUGCGUAGGUGGCGGGGUAAGUCAGGUGUGAAAUUUCGGAGCUUAACUCCGAAACUGCAUUCGAUACUGGCGUGCUUGAGGACUGGAGAGGAGACUGGAAUUCAUGGUGUAGCAGUGAAAUGCGUAGAGAUCAUGAGGAAGACCAGUGGCGAAGGCGGGUCUCUGGACAAGUUCCUGACAGCUGAGACACGAAGGCCAGGGGAGCAAACGGG
rnacentral:rRNA from 1 species